rnacentral:lncRNA from 1 species
ACUCAGUCUUGCGUCCAUCCCUGGCUCUAACCCUCUACAUUAUCAAAAGCCCACCCUUUUCCAGCUUCAACUUCCUUUGUAGUCUUCAACUGUGCCAUGUUCUCCUUUGCUGAAACAAUGCAGGGAGAACAGCAGAUAAUGCUAGCUUUACUUCCUAAUUAUCUAUGCACUGCUGGGAGGAGGGCAAUGAUGGGAACAAAGUUUUUCAAAAUUUCCCCUUGCUGACUUCUAGUUCCAUCUGAAACAUAGCUGAAGUGGAAAGUAUUUUUCUAAGGAUUUCUAAAGUUCUGAGGAUUUCCACUACAGUGUUAAGAUUUAGGUCUAUAGACAACUGCUGGCGAUAUUUUUAUUUCCAGUGUGGGUAAUCCUAUGUGAGAGUUCACAGAAGAAAGAAUGGUAGACCCAGGGGCAUUCUCCUCUAUGAGAAGUUGGAGAAAAC